AAUGUUUAAUUCCAUGCUUUAACGAUGUAUUAAUAAACUCUUCUAUGGCAAUAAAUAUGUUUAUCUAACGGCUUCCCUUUACAGGUAAUACAAAACUCAAGUGCCAAAGCAAAUACGAAAAUUAACAGCCAUAUUAUUGCUGCAAGUAUUCCCAAUGUUAAUAUAACCAACCGUGAUGAACCAGUUACAAUAGCAUUCAAUGUAAUAGAUCCGAAUGCCACCAACCCACAAUGUGUCUAUUGGGACGAAUCCCCAGGGCGUAAUCCCCACUGGUCAGCAAAGGGCUGUGAUACAUCCGACUAUGAACCUGGAAAAAAAGUAUUUUGUACUUGUAACCAUCUUACAAGUUUUGCCAUGCUAAUGGAUGUCUACCAGAAUGAAAGAGAUGUAAAACAUAGUCAAAUGUUGUCUAUUCUUUCUAACAUUGGUUCCGGAAUAUCAUUUGUCUGUGUCAUUCUGACAGCAAUAGUUCAUGUUUAUUUCAAAAAUCUAUGGAAAUUAACGUCUUCCAAGGUUUUAGUAAACUUGUGCGUUUCUUUAGCUGCCACUUAUUUUAUCUUUCUUGUUGGGUUCCAAGAAUAUAGUACAAAAUAACAGCUGUU